rnacentral:rRNA from 1 species
AAGUCGUAACAAGGUCUCCGUUGGUGAACCAGCGGAGGGAUCAUUACUGAGUGUUAAAACUCCAAACCUUUGUGAACAUACUACUGUUGCUUCGGCGGCCUCGCCCCGCGGCGCGCACUGCGUGACCCGGGCCAAGGCGACCGCCGGAGGCACCAAACCCUGUCUUUAUAGUGGAUUUCUGAGUGGCAUAAGCAAAUAAAUCAAAACUUUCAGCAACGGAACUCUUGGUUCUGGCAUCGAUGAAGAACGCAGCAAAAUGCGAUAAGUAAUGUGAAUUGCAGAAUUCAGUGAAUCAUCGAAUCUUUGAACGCACAUUGCGCCCGCCAGUACUCUGGCGGGCAUGCCUGUCUGAGCGUCAUUUCAACCCUCAGGACCCGUUCGCGGGACCUGGCGUUGGGGAUCAGCCCUCCGGGGCUGGCCCUUAAAUCUAGUGGCGGUCCUCACGCGACCUCCUCUGUGCAGUAGUAAUACCUCGCAGCUGGAAAAGCGUAAGGGCCACGCCGUAAAACCCCCUACUUCUCAAGGUUGACCUCAGAUCAGGUAGGAAUACCCGCUGAACUUAA